rnacentral:rRNA from 1 species
GUCUACGGGCAUGCCACCCUGAAUGUGCCUGAUCUCGUCUGAUCUCGGAAGCUAAGCAGGGUUGGGCCUGGUUAGUACUUGGAUGAGAAACCACCUAGGAAUACCAAGUGCUGUAGAAG